rnacentral:rRNA from 1 species
GAUGAACGCUGGCGGCGUGCCUAACACAUGCAAGUCGAGCGAACGGACGAUAAGCUUUCUUCCCUGCUGUUAGCGGGUGACGGGCGGGUGACACGUGCAUAAGCUUCCACUUUUACGGGGAUAAUAUCGUGGAGACAGUGCCAAUACUGGAGCAUAUGUUGAACCGCAGGGAUCAAAAGUUCAACACACUUUUCCUGACACUUAUAGACGGUGUCGCGCUGCAUUAGUUAGUUGGUAAGGUAACGGCUCACCAAGGCAACGAUGCGUAGCCGACCUGAGAGGGUGAUCGGCCACACUGGAACUGAGACACGGUCCAGACUCCUACGGGAGGCAGCAGUAGGGAAUCUUCGGCAAUGGGCGAAAGCCUGACGGAGCAACACCGCGUGAGUGAUGAAGGUCUUCGGAUCGUAAAGCUCUGUUGUUAGGGAAGAACAUCUGUGGAAGUAACUGUGCACAUCUUGACGGUACCUAAUCAGAAAGCCACGGCUAACUACGUG